CAUCCUGAUGAAUGGCACUGGGCUCCGACAGGCCCUAAAAUGGUCUGGUCAUGACAGAUAUGCCCUCUUGAGGCAGGCUUAGAAACCCUCGCCCACUGAAU
rnacentral:snoRNA from 1 species